GACCCGAUGGUGUACGUCGCACGCCUACUGGAAAUACAUUGGGUUCAAACUUUGAUAUAGCUCUGUGGGAGGUCCCUGUUCGAAUCGGGGUCGGGUCG